GUUCUAAAAAAGUGUAGUUUUAGCGCUGUUCAUGUCUAACGUUUGACCGUUCGUCUUAUUUAAAAAAAAAUAUGAUUAGUAUUUUUAUUGUUAUUACAUGAUAAAAUAUGAAUAGUAUUUUAUGUGUGACUAAUUUUUUUAAAAUUUUUUAUAAAAUUUUCAAAUAAGACGGACGGUCAAAACGCUAAACGCGGAUAUCUAUGGCUGCACUUAUUUUGGGACGGAGGUAG
rnacentral:pre_miRNA from 1 species